AUGGAGCACGCCGCGUGAGUGAUGAAGGGUUUCGGCUCGUAAAACUCUGUUGUUAAAGAAGAACAAGUGUUAGAGUAACUGUUAACACUUUGACGGUAUUUAACCAGAAAGCCACGGCUAACUACGUGCCAGCAGCCGCGGUAAUACGUAGGUGGCAAGCGUUGUCCGGAUUUAUUGGGCGUAAAGCGAGCGCAGGCGGUUUUGUAAGUCUGCUGUGAAAGCCCUCAGCUCAACUGAGGAAGUGCAGUGGAAACUACAAAACUUGAGUACAGAAGAGGAAAGUGGAACUCCAUGUGUAGCGGUGAAAUGCGUAGAUAUAUGGAAGAACACCAGUGGCGAAGGCGGCUUUCUGGUCUGUUACUGACGCUGAGGCUCGAAAGCAUGGGUAGCGAACAGGAUUAGAUACCCUGGUAGUCCAUGCCGUAAACGAUGAAUACUAGGUGUUGGAGGGUUUCCGCCCUUCAGUGCCGCAGCUAACGCAUUAAGUAUUCCGCCUGGGGAGUACGACCGCAAGGUUGAAACUCAAAGGAAUUGACGGGGGCCCGCACAAGUGGUGGAGCAUGUGGUUUAAUUCGAUGCUACGCGAAGAACCUUACCAGCUCUUGACAUCUUCUGCCAACCCAAGAGAUUGGGCGUUCCCUUCGGGGACAGAAUGACAGGUGGUGCAUGGUUGUCGUCAGCUCGUGUCGUGAGAUGUUGGGUUAAGUCCCGCAACGAGCGCAACCCUUAUUAUUAGUUGCCAGCAUUUAGUUGGGCACUCUAGUGAGACUGCCGGUGAUAAACCGGAGGAAGGUGGGGACGACGUCAAAUCAUCAUGCCCCUUAUGAGCUGGGCUACACACGUGCUACAAUGGAUGGUACAACGAGUCGCGAAACCGCGAGGUCAAGCUAAUCUCUUAAAGCCAUUCUCAAUUUCG
rnacentral:rRNA from 2 species